rnacentral:rRNA from 1 species
GAAAGUAAUGAAGGGCGUACGGUGGAUGCCUAGGCUCUUACAGGCGAUGAAGGACGUGAUAAGCUGCGAAAAGCCGCGGUGAGGCGCAAAUGGCCCUUGACCCGCGGAUCUCCGAAUGGGACAACCCAAUAUCUUGAAGAGAUAUUAUCCCGCCGGUGCGGGAGGCGAACGCGGGGAACUGAAACAUCUUAGUACCCGCAGGAAAAGAAAAUAAAGAAUGAUUCCCCCAGUAGUGGCGAGCGACCGGGGAAGAGCCCAAACCGACGUUGUCUCGGCAUCGUCGGGGUUGUAGGACCGCGCCAUCGCAAGAAAGGCCGUGAGUGGAAGCGACUGGAAAGCCGCGCCAUAGAGGGUGACAGCCCCUUACACGAAGCAGCCCGAAGCGUAGCGGACUCCUGAGUAGCGCGGGACACGAGUAAUCCUGUGUGAAUCCGCCGGGCCCAUCCGGCAAGGCUAAAUACUCGUAAGAGACCGAUAGUGAACCAGUACCGUGAGGGAAAGGUGAAAAGUACCCCUUGCAGGGGAGUGAAAGAGUUCCUGAAACCGUACGCCUACAAGCGGUCGGAGCAUCUUGAAUGAUGUGACGGCGUGCCUUUUGCAUAAUGAACCUACGAGUUGCCGUCACCAGCGAGGUUAAGUGCGACGACGCACCGAGCCGCAGCGGAAGCGAGUCUUAAAAUGGCGCGAUAGUUGGUGGAGGCAGACGCGAAACCAAGUGAUCUACACUUGGCCAGGAUGAAGUCCCGGUAACACGGGAUGGAGGUCCGCACCAAUAAGCGUUGAAAAGCUUCUGGAUGAGGUGAGUGUAGGAGUGAAAGGCCAAUCAAACUCGGAGAUAGCUCGUACUCCCCGAAAGGCAUUUAGGUGCCGCCUGUGGCGUUCCCGACGUGAGGUAGAGCGACUGAUAGGAUGCGAGGGCUUCACCGCCUAUCAAGUCCUGACAAACUCCGAAUGCACGUCGGCCAAGCCAUGGAGUAAGGGCAUGGGUGCUAAGGUCCGUGCCCGAGAGGAGAAGAAUCCAGACCACCGGCUAAGGUCCCGAAAUACUGGUUAAGUUAGACUAACGCAGUCCGGCCCCCAAGACAGCUAGGAUGUUGGCUUGGAAGCAGCCAUUCAUUCAAAGAGUGCGUAACAGCUCACUAGUCGAGGAGCUGGGCGUGGAUAAUAAUCGGGUAUGAAACCAGUUACCGAAGCCGUGGGAUGCUUAAGCAUCGGUAGGGGAGCAUUGCAUGCGGCUUAGAAGGCGGGGCGCGAGCCCCUCUGGAGCGCAUGGAAACGCAAAUGUAGGUAUAAGUAACGACAAGGGGGGUGGGAUGCCCCCCCGCCGAAAGACCAAGGUUUCCUGAACAACGCUAAUCGGUUCAGGGUCAGUCGGGUCCUAAGCAUAAGCCGUAUGGCGAGGGCGAUGGACGAAACGGUUAAUAUUCCGUUACUGUCUUGGUGUGUGACGCGGCGACGGAGUAGUGACACGGCCGCCUCCUGACGGAAAAGGGGGUUGAAGCGCAAAGGUGUCGAGGAAGGCAGGCAAAUCCACCUUCCGAGCCGAAGCGCGAAAGUACGCCGGGCCCUUUGGGGCAAGGCGAUAGUGCCGGUAAUCAGACUUCCAAGAAAACCCGCUAAACUUCAGCACCAAGUCACCCGUACUCUAAACGGACACACGUGGUCGGGUAGAAUAUACUAAGGCGCUUGGGAGAUUCACGGUUAAGGAACUAGGCAAAUUGACCCCGUACCUUCGGAAUAAGGGGUCCUCGCUUUUGCGAGGCGCAGAGAAUAGGUCCAGGCAACUGUUUAACAAAAACACAGGGCUGUGCAAAUUUGAAAGAAGAAGUAUACAGCCUGACACCUGCCCGGUGCCGGAAGGUUAAGAGGAGAGCUCAUCAGCGAUGAGAAGGCUUGAAUUGAAGCCCCAGUAAACGGCGGCCGUAACUAUAACGGUCCUAAGGUAGCGAAAUUCCUUGUCGGGUAAGUUC